rnacentral:lncRNA from 1 species
AAGAAAAAAAAGUUAGGAGGGAGCAUCGCGCAACGCGAUUGAAGAAGCCAAGCCUGUCGUCCCAACACGUGAUCGCAGGUCAAAGUGCAAGGUUGGUUUUAGUGUUCGCGCUCUGAAGGCAGAGUCACGGCAUGGCAGCCGAACAAGCGCGCACCGAAUAAAAAACUACUGGCAUAGCUACUGGGAACCAAACGUUUCAGCGAAUCUGGAUUCUUCCUACGUUAUUUGGCC